AACGAACGCUGGUAGCGUGGAUUAGGCAUGCAAGUCGAACGGGAUCCGCGAGGUAGCAAUACUGAGCGGUGAGAGUGGCGGAUUGGGGAGGAACACGUGAGCAACCUGUCCUUGAGUCGGGGAAAACCGCGGGAAACUGCGGCUAAUACCGGAUGUGGCGUCCGACGACAUCGUCGGAGCGCUAAAGGGGGCCCGCAAGGGCUCUCGCUCUUCGAGGGGCUCGCGCACCAUCAGCUUGUUGGCGGGUAACGGCCCACCAAGGCCUACGGUUAGCUGGUCUGAGAGGAUGACCAGCCCCACUGGGACUGAGAUACUGCCCAGACUCCUACGGGAGGCUGCAGUCGAGGAUCAUUUGCAAUGGGCGAAAGCCUGACAAUGCGACGCUGCGUGGAGGAUGAAGGCCUUCGGGUUGUAAACUCCUGUCAUAUGGGAACAGGCGAGGGGACCCAACACGUCCCUUAGUUGAGUGUACCUUAAGAGGAAUGGGCGGCUAACUCUGUGCCAGCAGCUGC
rnacentral:rRNA from 1 species